rnacentral:lncRNA from 1 species
CAAGGGAGCAAAGCUGGAGGUCUGAUAAUUCAUGAUGACAUCAUAAAGCGGCACAGGAAGGAGCAGCCGGAUGCCAGCGCCGUGGGCGACAGCAGAAGGCAGCAGGUCAAGAACAGGAGCUCGGCCCCCGGCUAUGGGCGGCCCCGGUACCGAGCCUGGAAGCAGAGGAAUUUGCAAGGACCUCAGCGUUUCAGAAGAGGCUUUGGACAGCAGCAGCUCAAUCGGAGGCAGUUCAGGAAUGCUCUGCCUGGUGGCAAGAGAAGAGCGGCUGCUGCAUUCCAAGGAGUGAGCCCUCUGAACCGCCAGGACUCGGCCCAGGAGGGCACCAAGAAGAGCAAUGCUUUUGCCAAAAGCAGUGGUGGGCAGCAGGAGGAACAGCCACAGCCAUCUGCAAGCCCCAAGAGAUUCAGAGCAGAUGCUGCCAGCAUCCGUGCCCCAGGGAGGAGCAGGCCUUUCCUGCUGAACAGAGGAGCAGCAUUCCAGCAGAAGCGGAUGCAGCAGUGGUUCUACAAAGCUCCCUUCCAGAGAUGGCAGAUGGAUUCUCAAGGAGAAGGGAAACCGCCAAGGAUGAGAAGGUGGCAAGUGAAACCCAGCCCGGGAGCAAUUCUGACAGUUUCUGUGCUUAAUCCCCAGGCGGGCCAGCUCAGCCUGCCUGGAUCCAAGCGCCCAUUCCUGCGAAGCCAGAGAGCCCCAGCACAGGUGGCCAAACCCCAGCCCAGGGGGGUGCUGCUGAGGUUCAACUUCCGCGCCAUGGCCAACCAGACCAGCCUGACUCUGGAUGAGAGGUUCUCUGGUCUGAGGAAUAAGAGGCGCUUUACAGCGGCCAGGAGCGCCCGGCGGACGGUCACCAUGCCUUAGGACACGUGCUCGGCACAGGGACUGCCUGGGACACUCCAGGCUCCCCGACACGGCCUCAAUAAAAGUCCUUAGAUUCCCUUUGAGAUAGCUGAU